GUUCCGGGCUGGGUUGCGGCGCAUGUGUGUCUUAGACACACUCAAUGACUGCGAAUAUGUCUUCCGGGUUUGGUGAAGGCUCCUGCAUGCUUUCCAGGAAUGCCUAAUACUAAGAAAAAGAGAGGCUUAUUACAAUAGACACAGCGGAAUAUACAGUCUCAAGUGUGAAUAAGGUGUUCUUGGGAAAGGACAAAAUUCCCCUCUGAAAAUUAACACUGCAUAAGGUAGAGUGUCUAAAGUGUCAUUUUAUUUCGAUAAUGAUAAUAAGCCUUUUCUUUCUUGCUUGAAUAAUGCUUAUGUAACAUGAAAUGUUAUAUAAUCAUUAACGUUUUUACUGCAGUACCGACGCGUCGCCACGGUGCAGCGAGUGCAUCGCUGACUAAAUAUUUUUAAUCCUUUAGCCAGCUGAAAAAAAUCAGGACGCUAGUGUUGAGGGACCUCAUCUGUAAAAUCUGUAAAUAAAAGAAUAAUAAGGUUAUUAUUAAGGUCCCACAUGCUCAAACAAAGGAGGCACUGCGGCCUGCAUGUAAUGUCUUCAUCCUAAUAGUGGUGAGUGAGAACAAAGAGAUUUCAAAUCUGAGCGCCAAAACCAGGCGCCAGGCUGGGGAACCAUACCUGGCUCCCCUGCUGAGACAUCCAACUCCUGCUGAUAAAAGCGACAAACGGAGGAGAAACUUGGACGUCAGCCAUCCUGAUUGGAUCACACAAUAGGAGGGGCGUGACCAAAAACACGGUUAUAAAAGCCGCCGUGACCGAAGACUCGUCCCUUGUUCUCUCCGACCUUGUCCCGUCUCCCUUUGUUCUCUCCAACCUUGUCCCUUUCCCUUCUCUUCUCGCCUUCGAGACAACUGCAGACCUUUCUUCUCUCCGUCCACCUGGAGCUUCCCUCUGCACCGGCACACCUGGAGCCUCCACCGCAGCCAGCAGCUGAACCGUGGACGCCCAUCUACUUCCAGCCAUCCGGCAGGAAACCGCCAGCUUAACGGCCUAACUCGCCGCCGCAUCACCUGAUCAUGACGCGAUCACUGCAACGCACACGUGGACCGGACCGGACCGCAGCAGCGCAAGCACGCACGCCCGCAACGCCGGAUCUUCUCACCAGGAUUAAGCAGUAUCUAGUCUAGAGAAGUCUUGUCAGCUGCUGCUGGGGACUUCUAGGGCGAAGAGUCCAAGUUGUCAUCCCAUCUUCCCUGGUCUUGUGGAUCAGGGCAGUGUUUUCUGAGGGACAAAGCUCUUAUGUUGGAACUAGACCACCUGUGAAAUAACUACAGUAAAUUACUGUUUUCAUUGCAAUAUCUGAAUAAAAGUUAAAAUAUUAUAAUACA